UACGGAGGGUGCGAGCGUUUGUCCGGAAUCAUUGGGCGUAAAGGGCGCGUAGGUGGCCCGGUCAGUCAGUGGUGAAAGCGCGGGGCUCAACUCCGCGUCGGCCAUUGAUACUGCUGGGCUUGAGCACUGUAGAGGCAGGCGGAAUUCCGGGUGUAGCGGUGGAAUGCGUAGAGAUCCGGAAGAACACCGGUGGUGUAGACGGCUUUCUGGACCGUAACUGACGCUGAGACACGAAAGCGUGGGUAGCAAACAGG
rnacentral:rRNA from 1 species